AAUGAACGCUGGCGGCGCGCCUAAUACAUGCAAGUCGAGCGAGAAGGACGUAGCAAUACGUUUGUAAAGCGGCGAACGGGUGAGGAAUACAUGGGUAACCUACCCUAGAGUGGGGAAUAACUAGCCGAAAGGUUAGCUAAUACCGCGUACGCUCCUUGGACUUCGGUUCAGGGAGGAAAGCGAUGCCGAGGGUAUCGCGCUCUUGGAUGGGCUCAUGUCCUAUCAGCUUGNGGUGAGGUAACGGCUCACCAAGGCUUCGACGGGUAGCUGGUCUGAGAGGACGAUCAG
rnacentral:rRNA from 1 species